GGCCUUGACAUACUAAGAACUUUCCAGAGAUGGAUUGGUGCCUUCGGGAACUUAGAUACAGGUGCUGCAUGGCUGUCGUCAGCUCGUGUCGUGAGAUGUUGGGUUAAGUCCCGCAACGAGCGCAACCUUUUCCUUAUUUGCCAGCGGGUCAUGCCGGGAACUUUAAGGAUACUGCCAGUGACAAACUGGAGGAAGGCGGGGACGACGUCAAGUCAUCAUGGCCCUUACGGCCAGGGCUACACACGUGCUACAAUGGUCGGUACAAAGGGUUGCUACCUCGCGAGAGGAUGCUAAUCUCAAAAAGCCGAUCGUAGUCCGGAUCGCAGUCUGCAACUCGACUGCGUGAAGUCGGAAUCGCUAGUAAUCGCGGAUCAGAAUGCCGCGGUGAAUACGUUCCCGGGCCUUGUACACACCGCCCGUCACACCAUGGGAGUUUGUUGCACCAGAAGUAGGUAGUCUAACCGCAAGGAGGACGCUUACCACGGUGUGGCCGAUGACUGGGGUGAAGUCGUAACAAGGUAAGCGUAGAUGA
rnacentral:rRNA from 1 species